UAAGAAGAAAAACGGGAUGGUACGUUAUACAUAUUAUAUGUUAGUAUAAAAUGUAUACAUUUAUAGAACAUAUGUAUGUACUUUGAAUACACAAAAAUUACUGGAAAUACACUAAUGAUACAUUAGGGGCACAGUCGCAAACAUAGAAUACAUUGUAUAUUGAACUUUUAUACAUUGUGUAAUAGUAUGCGUACAAAGAGC
rnacentral:lncRNA from 1 species